rnacentral:rRNA from 1 species
UGGGGAAUUUUGGACAAUGGGCGCAAGCCUGAUCCAGCCAUGCCGCGUGCAGGAUAAAGGCCUUCGGGUUGUAAACUGCUUUUGUACGGAACGAAAAGUCUCUUUCUAAUAAAGAGGGAUCAUGACGGUACCGUAAGAAUAAGCACCGGCUAACUACGUGCCAGCAGCCGCGGUAAUACGUAGGGUGCGAGCGUUAAUCGGAAUUACUGGGCGUAAAGCGUGCGCAGGCGGUUUAGUAAGACAGGCGUGAAAUCCCCGGGCUCAACCUGGGAACUGCGCUUGUGACUGCUAAGCUAGAGUACGGUAGAGGGGGAUGGAAUUCCGCGUGUAGCAGUGAAAUGCGUAGAUAUGCGGAGGAACACCGAUGGCGAAGGCAAUCCCCUGGACCUGUACUGACGCUCAUGCACGAAAGCGUGGGGAGCAAACA